GGGCCCGGGCAGGGCAGCCCCGGUCCCGUUCCCAUGCCCGGUCUUUAAACUUCGCAAUAUUUGGAGGGAGUCCCUGAAAAGCACCGGGUUUUACCACGCGGCUGUUAGCAGCCUUCUUAGCCUCGCUCGCCUGGCACAAGACGAGCCGCGAGGUUUUUAUGCCGUUUUGGAAACAGCCUCGCGACGUUUUACCUGUUUUUUUCCUCCCGUUUUCUCUUUGCAGGGACCCGACCCCUACCGGCUGCUUGGUGGAAGUUGGUGUCUGCACCAGGAGCAGCUGCAGGCUCGCUGGGCGAGAUCGAGCUCUAAAGAGCACAAUAGCCAACCUUAAUGCACGGGAAAUGAAAUUAACGGCUUGCAGCGAUGCAGGGAGAGGUACAGGUGCAGGACUAACUACAAAAGCAGACCACCCUGAAAGUUGGAGCACAACGUAUAAGUGACUAAAACCAUUUAUCAUCUUGUGUAGUACACAGAAUGAGAGACGUGAACAAAGCAAGAUAGAGCUGUAAAAUUUCCAAGUAAAUAUUAUACAGAGCUUUCUCAGCUAACAGAAACCAUUUAUUCUCUAUACUCCAGUAAAGACUCGUGAGCACCAAAUUUUAACAACUCACAUAUUAUCUUUCAUGAUUCACAUCUAAAAUGCAAGUUCCCUAAAGUAGAUGAAUCACAUAAUCACUUCCAAAAUCAAAAUGAAGUGAACUUGCGUUUGUCAGCAUAUAUUCAGCUUUUUCCAUGACUUCAAAUUAACACUAGUACUCAGUACGCUGGGCAAGCACAAGGCCUUUAUCUCCUUUAGCAAACAUCAUUACUCUAAAACACACCAACAAGGUGAAUCCAACCAAACUGAUUUGCUGAUUUUGCAACUUGACAUCAAAGUAUGAAAAUCAGUUCUUCGUUUGUUGGCCCAAUGACCCAAAUUCAGAUUGCUGUGAAGGUAGAAAUGUAUUUCCCUGUAAUUAUUUGCUCCCGUUGCUCUCAUACACCAGUGCUGUAAAUAGUAAGGCCUUGCCCAAAUAAAAACUUUACCCUUUUAAUAAUGCUAGUGAAAUUUAAAAAUUUUACUGGCAAAUUAUUUAGCACUUAGUAGUAAUUGUACUUCCACAUUAAGAAAAUUUCACAUUAUUUAUUAUCCUAUUCCAUUUAUCCAAAGCUGCAUGAAAGCAAGGUCUAAAUCUCUGCUUUGAACUUGUACAUUUAAUUUGUUUUGGGUUAUAAAGACAUGACUGCUUUUGUGUCAGCUAUUUCCAUCAUCACGCAUCUUCAUAAUUUAUUUUCUACACAGAAAACUUUAAGAACCUAAUGUACAGUCAUCCCGCCUUCUUACAAUUAGAAUUUGUAUUUCUUAUGUUUUCCCAGAUUUACAAAACUCUAGGUUUGGGUUAUCCCUGUAAAACAAAGACUGUAUAGCUUUAAAAAAACAGGUAAUUCGAGCCAAUUGGUUUUCCAAAUUUCCUGACUACAGGCAACGAAGACAGAUGUAACUACAGUUUGAUGAAUUACUGAGAAUAAUAGAGAACCACCAACCUGAAGAUCAUGGUGCAUCAGUUUUCCAUUACAAAUCGCACAGCCAACUGUUUAGGAACUGCCCACUUCUGAGUUACAAGGCUUUGCUACUUUGUGAGAACACGUUAGCUUUACGCAGAAUGAAGUAUGGGAAAGUUGAAGCGUAACCACAGGCCAAAGCAGCAAUAGAUGCUAUAAGAUUAAAUUCCUGUUUACAAGCUUUUUGUUUUGUAUUACUGAUAGCAUUCUGACUAUAUAAAGAAGCCUUCAAACAA